ACCAAAGUGGUGUAGUGGUUUGGGUGUUGGACUAUGACUCUGGAGACCAGGGUUCGAAUCCCCACUUGGCCA